CGCGGGACUUCAUUAGAGCUAGAAUUCACGGUCCACCUUUAAUAUUAUCGAAGGUGCUUUCUCUUGCAGAGUACUGGAACUGCCUGUGGAGCCACCGGUGCGAUCUGACGCGCAGAGUUUUGGCUGGAACCCCGAAUCUGUGUUGGCUCGCAGGAUAUUGUAUGGAAUGUUACGGCACGUUCGUACACAACGUACCAGUCGCGAUUGCUCACAAAAUUGCAGAAGACUGGCGAACUAUUUGAACAAAUUUGGGAUCUAUGACAAUAUGAAUAAAAUUGUGAUAUAUGGAGAAGUGGGUGGUGAUUUCGUCACACCCGCGGUACAAAAUCACCAACAACAACCGACUGCCCAGAGGUUACAUCCAGAUGCAGCUUCCUAGCCAGCUCCUUCAGGACCUACAUUGGACAACACCGUGGCAGUUGCCAGCCGCUAGUUGGCGGUUGUUCGGAGCACCCGGCAGAAGAGCUGAUGGAGUUGUCGGAACAGGAAUCCUCCGGCUUCUCCGCCACGAGCAACAAGCGACAAAGUGAGAUCACAGCUCGCCUCACCUGUUGCAGAGUGGAAUCACAGGACAUCAAAUAUUUUCCAGUUCUUCUUCCUGAUUACCAAAGAAGGAAACACUCUUCCUGGCCUCCUUAUUUGAGGCAUUUCUAAAGUGGUGCGCAGAGGAAACAGUACUAAAUGUAUGAGGAUCCAUAAAUUCGACUUCUGAAGAGGAACUGUUUAUGCCUACAGAAUAAUUAUUUAUCUCAACAUGAAUAUCGAUAUUAUCACUUGCAAGUGCAGCCUACGUAUAGCAUAUUUUCCCUCGCCACCGGUGCUGUAGCUCUGCAGAAAUGGAUAGUGAUUCAUGGAAAAAGAGCUUCAUUAAUAAAAAAUAU